AUUGAACGCUGGCGGCAGGCCUAACACAUGCAAGUCGAGCGGAUGAAGGGAGCUUGCUCCUGGAUUCAGCGGCGGACGGGUGAGUAAUGCCUAGGAAUCUGCCUGGUAGUGGGGGAUAACGUCCGGAAACGGGCGCUAAUACCGCAUACGUCCUGAGGGAGAAAGUGGGGGAUCUUCGGACCUCACGCUAUCAGAUGAGCCUAGGUCGGAUUAGCUAGUUGGUGGGGUAAAGGCCUCCCAAGGCGACGAUCCGUAACUGGUCUGAGAGGAUGAUCAGUCACACUGGAACUGGGACACGGUCCAGACUCCUACGGGAGGCAGCAGUGGGGAAUAUUGGACAAUGGGCGAAAGCCUGAUCCAGCCAUGCCGCGUGUGUGAAGAAGGUCUUCGGAUUGUAAAGCACUUUAAGUUGGGAGGAAGGGCAGUAAGUUAAUACCUUGCUGUUUUGACGUUACCAACAGAAUAAGCACCGGCUAACUUCGUG
rnacentral:rRNA from 1 species